rnacentral:lncRNA from 1 species
AUGGUCUUAAGAAGCGGUGUUGAAGGUCUGGGGUAGGGGCGGCAGGCACCAUGUCCGGCUGGGAAGGUAGCAAGAAGAAGCCCCUGAAACAACCUAAGAAGCAGGUCAAGGAGAUGGAUGAGGAAGAUAAGGCUUUCAAACAGAAACAAAAAAGAGGAGCAGAAGAAACGUGAGGAGCUAAAAGCGAAGGCCACGGGGAAGGGCCCCCUGGCCACAGGCAGAAUUAAGAAAUCUGGCAAAAAGUAAGCCGAUUCUUGUGCCUGAAAUGAUGGUGACCGUUGAUUCCAUUCCUAUUUAGACAUCAGGAUCCCUGCUGGAACAUCUUUUGCCACCUAUAGCUAGAAUGAAGUGUUGUAUUAGA